UACGGAGGGUGCAAGCGUUGUUCGGAAUUAUUGGGCGUAAAGCGCGUGUAGGCGGUUUUUUAAGUCUGAUGUGAAAGCCCCGGGCUCAACCUGGGAAGUGCAUUGGAUACUGGAAGACUUGAGUACGGGAGAGGGUAGUGGAAUUCCUCGUGUAGCGGUGAAAUGCGUAGAGAUGAGGAGGAACACCAGUGGCGAAGGCGGCCACCUGGACAGUAACUGACGCUGAGGCGCGAAAGUGUGGGGAGCAAACAGGAUUAGAAACCCGUGUAGU
rnacentral:rRNA from 1 species